AUACGGAGGGUGCGAGCGUUAAUCGGAAUCACUGGGCGUAAAGCGCGCGCAGGCGGUCUUUUAAGUUGGAUGUGAAAGCCUACGGCUCAACCGUAGAAUUGCAUCCAAAACUAUUAGACUAGAGUGUGGGAGAGGAAGAUGGAAUUAGUUGUGUAGGGGUAAAAUCCGUAGAGAUAACUAGGAAUACCAAAAGCGAAGGCAAUCUUCUGGAACACUACUGACGCUGAGGCGCGAAAGCGUGGGGAGCAAACGGGAUUAGAAACCCCAGUAGUCC
rnacentral:rRNA from 1 species